rnacentral:rRNA from 1 species
UACGAAGGGUGCAAGCGUUACUCGGAAUUACUGGGCGUAAAGGGUGCGUAGGUGGUUUUUUAAGUCCGUUGUGAAAUCCCUGGGCUCAACCUGGGAAUGGCAGUGGAUACUGGAAAGCUAGAGUGCGGUAGAGGGUAGUGGAAUUCCCGGUGCAGCAGUGAAAUGCGUAGAGAUCGGGAGGAACACCAGUGGCGAAGGCGGCUACCUGGACCAGCACUGACACUGAAGCACGAAAGCGUGGGGAGCAAACAGG